rnacentral:lncRNA from 1 species
AUGCAGCCUUGUGGAAAAACCAGGAGUCGCCAGUGGAGCAGGAGGAGGAGUGGACCCUGGGGGAGGAGGGUGACCCCUGCGGUCUCACUCUGUCUGACCUCAGUAACACAGCACUGGGCCCUGGGGGAGGAGGGUGACCCCUCCCAUCUCACUCUGACCUCAGUAACACAGCACUGGGCCCUGGGGGAGGAGGGUGACCCCUCCCAUCUCACUCUGACCUCAGUACAGACCGAGAGUGAGACCGCCUCCCAUCUACUGGUCACCUCUCGCCCCCCCCCCCCAAUACCCGCAACAGCAGGGCAGGGCCAGGCUGAAGCCGGGAGCCCAGAACUCCAUCCAGGUCCUCCACACGGGUGGCAGGGGCUGUCCCCAGGGUGCGACUGCAGGAAGGCGAUGGCAGCUGCCAUGACUCGAACCUCGCACUCUGACUCAGGGCACCGGCUCCCCAGGCAGCAUCUUAACAGUUGCACUGACUUCCACCCCUCCCCCAUGUCCUUUACCAACCUCGGGCACCAGGGGUCAUGGGGACAGCAUGGUCCCCAAGUGCAGAGUCCCUGGGCCCAAUCCAUGCUCUGCCAUUUGUUGUGCAUCUGCAGGCAAAUUCUAUACUCUGAGCCUUAG